rnacentral:rRNA from 1 species
CAGUCGCCGCGGGAAUACGGAGGGUGCAAGCGUUAAUCGGAAUUACUGGGCGUAAAGCGCACGCAGGCGGUCUGACAAGUUAGAUGUGAAAUCCCCGGGCUUAACCUGGGAACUGCAUUUGAAACUGUCAGGCUGGAGUCUUGUAGAGGGGGGUGGAAUUCCAGGUGUAGCGGUGAAAUGCGUAGAGAUCUGGAGGAAUACCGGUGGCGAAGGCGGCCCCCUGGACAAAGACUGACGCUCAGGUGCGAAAGCGUGGGGAGCAAACAGGAUUAGAUACCCCAGUAGUCCCUGUCUCUUAUAC